rnacentral:rRNA from 1 species
GGCAUGCGCAGGCUACACAUGCAGUCGAGCGGAUGAUGGGAGCUUGCUCCCUGAUUUAGCGGCGGACGGGUGAGUAAUGCCUAGGAAUCUGCCUGGUAGUGGGGGAUAACGUUCCGAAAGGAACGCUAAUACCGCAUACGUCCUACGGGAGAAAGCAGGGGACCUUCGGGCCUUGCGCUAUCAGAUGAGCCUAGGUCGGAUUAGCUAGUUGGUGAGGUAAUGGCUCACCAAGGCGACGAUCCGUAACUGGUCUGAGAGGAUGAUCAGUCACACUGGAACUGAGACACGGUCCAGACUCCUACGGGAGGCAGCAGUGGGGAAUAUUGGACAAUGGGCGAAAGCCUGAUCCAGCCAUGCCGCGUGUGUGAAGAAGGUCUUCGGAUUGUAAAGCACUUUAAGUUGGGAGGAAGGGCUGCUGGUUAAUACCCUGCAGUUUUGACGUUACCAACAGAAUAAGCACCGGCUAACUUCGUGCCAGCAGCCGCGGUAAUACGAAGGGUGCAAGCGUUAAUCGGAAUUACUGGGCGUAAAGCGCGCGUAGGUGGUUUUGUAAGUUGGAGGUGAAAUCCCCGGGCUCAACCUGGGAACUGCCUCCAAAACUGCAUGACUAGAGUACGGUAGAGGGUGGUGGAAUUUCCUGUGUAGCGGUGAAAUGCGUAGAUAUAGGAAGGAACACCAGUGGCGAAGGCGACCACCUGGACUGAUACUGACACUGAGGUGCGAAAGCGUGGGGAGCAAACAGGAUUAGAUACCCUGGUAGUCCACGCCGUAAACGAUGUCAACUAGCCCGUUGGAAUCCUUGAGAUUUUAGUGGGCGCAGCUAACGCAUUAAGUUUGACCGCCCUGGGGGAGUACGGCCCGCCACGGUUAAAACUCCAAUGGAUUUGACCGGGGGCCCCCCACAAACGGUGGAAGCAUGUGGGUUUAUUUCCAAAGCAACCGCGAAAAAACCUUACCCUGGCCCUUGACAUGGCUGAGAACUUUUCC